UACAGAGGGUGCAAGCGUUGUCCGGAUUUAUUGGGUGUAAAGGGUGCGUAGGCGGGACGAUAAGUCCGAGGUGAAAGCCCGCAGCUUAACUGCGGAACUGCCUUGGAUACUGUCGACCUUGAGUCCCGGAGGGGUGGCUGGAAUUCCUGGUGUAGCGGUGAAAUGCGUAGAUAUCAGGAGGAACACCGGAGGUGUAGACGGGUCACUGGACGGGUACUGACGCUGAGGCACGAAAGCGUGGGAGCAAACAGG
rnacentral:rRNA from 1 species